rnacentral:sRNA from 1 species
GCGCCCUGUGCCCCUGAAGAAGCGCGGAUACGAUGUCACCAGGAACCCUCAUCUCAACAAGAAAAGACAAGCCAAGGAAGAAGCCAAGCAACUCCACAGAGAUUAUCAUUGGUCAUAGAAGUGGACAGAGGCAGCCUGCCUGCUGUAUUUGAGUCUACUGAAUAAUGAUGGCAAUUCACAACUGCAUAGACUGAUAUAGGCAUAUUCCUGAUGGUGACAGAAUUGAUACUAGAUAUUCCAAGCUCCCUCCAGGAGUCUAGAUUUUCUAAAUGAUGCAAAUUAACUACACAUGAGCUUCUAUUUUUCUUUUUAAAACUAAUAUUCUGCCUUCUAAAAUUUAUGUAAUGACCUCUUCUAUUGUCCAUACGGAUUUGGCAACAGAGUAAAUCUUUGGUUAUAUGACCCCUCUUUUACUCAUAUUAAAUAGGCAACUAUCAGCCCCACUUCACAGGGGUACCUUCAUAGGAAGAUGCCAUCCCCAUUCCAUAAGUGUAGCAACAUGUUGAUGGGCCAUCAACAUAUUUCUGACCUCCAUUUACCUAUAGUGUCUUUUAGGAAGA